GUGACUUCCCUCACUGAGGGGUACCCCUUGGGGUAGAGGCCACUCUACCCCGUUGCCCUUGGCAACGCUAGACCCUGAAGUGAGUUGUGUGGGUGAUACAGCUUGGAUCUGUGUCCCAGCUCAAAUCUCCCGUCAAAUUGUAAACCCCAGUGUUGGGGGAGGGGCCUGGUGGGAGAUGAUUGGAUGAUGGGGGCUGAUUUGCAGUGCUCGUGAUAGUGAGUGAGUUCUCACGAGAUCUGCCUCUUUAAAAGCGUGUGGCACCUUCCGCUUCACUCUCUUCCUCCUUCCGCCUCGUAAGACACGUCUCUUUCCUCUUCGCCCUCCGCCAUGAUUUAGAGACGGGGUUUCACCGUGUUGGCCAGGAUGGUCUCCAUCUCUUGACGUCGUGAUCCACCCGCCUCGGCCUCCCAAAGUGCUGGGAUUACAGGCGUGAGCCACCGCACCCGGCCGAUAUUACAAAAUCUCCUUCCUCUCCCCCUCCUCCUCCUCCCUCCCUCCCGCAUUAGUUUCCUGACACGAACCUGGCGGCUUAGGACAACACACACUUACUCUCUCACAGUUCCUGAGGCUGGAAGUCCAGAAGUCGGGGUGCUGGCAGGACGUGCUCUUCUGAAGCCUCCAGGGCAGGGCCAGCCGCAUGCCCGUCUCCUCGCUUGGGCACCUGCCAGCGGUCCCCGGCGGUCCCCGGCUCAUUGCUGCAUGGCUCCAACGUCCGCCUCUCCCACCAUGUGGCCUCCUCCUGGUGUCUCUGUGUCCAAAUCUCCCGCUCUGUCUAAGGAUAACAGUCACUGGUCAUGGGACCCAUCCUAAUCCAGGGUGACCUCGUAUUAACCUCAUCACAUCUGCAAAGACUAUUUCCAAGUCAAGCCACACUCCCAGCUGCUGGGGGCGGGACUUGAACAUAUUUUUUGUGGGGACACAAUUCCCCUCUCAGGUUUUAAGAUUUGUCUUUAUCAUUAAAGUUUUCAAAACUAA
rnacentral:lncRNA from 1 species